GCAGAUAUCUGCUCAAUAUCUAUACCUACAUAUCUAGUAGAAAUCACAACAUGUUUAUAUGAAUCUACUAGAACAAUACAGACUUUGAUUGUCAUCCCUUUAUACCUACCUUGAUGCUUUAAAUCUAUUAUUCUCCAGUUUGUCAAAUGUCUUUCCCAAUCUCAGUACAUGGGUAUGUUGGAUAUUUCCUUGUGUACCUAUAAAAAAAUAUUUUUCACAUGGGGAGGUGAGUUCCUGCAGAGUGGGGCUCUGCGCCAGGGCAUACUGGGAAGGAGAAGCUGCGGCCUCUCAUGGAGGGCCUGGCAGAUGCCCCCUUAGCCGGAGCUUGGAACAGACUCAUGGCUGGCGCAGUAAGUUCAAUGGCUGAGGUGAGGCACACCCGGGCCCUAAUAAUGCAAUUCAGACCACUCUCCCCUGC
rnacentral:lncRNA from 1 species